rnacentral:misc_RNA from 1 species
AGGAGCCGUAUGCGGUAGUGCCGCACGUACGGAUCUGUGCGGGGGGCGGGGAGUAAUCCCCGUCCCUACCGCGAC